AAUUUAUACAAAGACAGUGUAGACAGAGAAGGUUAGUGCUGAAACUCAGUGCUUAUGUUUGGCUUUCUUUAAGGAACUGUUCGAGACAGAUUAGUUUAAAAGAGGAUGGACAAUUUUAUGGGCCGCAUUGAAGAAGUUUGAGGGGGCAGAGAAAUGGAAAUAUUACGUUAAAGAUCAUAGCAUUCAAUAAAUAAAGAACUUGGGACAGAGAGACCUCUGUAUUUUCCUGAUGGCAUCGUCCCCAUGAUGAAAUCCAGAUCAGGAAUAAAUGUUAUUUCAAAUCACACAAACCUGUACACCUGAAGUUUUCCAGACAACCUUGAGGUCUCAUAUAAUUAUAAUCAAGUUGUAGAUAACCACCAAGAGGACUGACUACACACUCAGGAGAUUCAUGGCAAGGAAAAUACUUAUGGUCAAGAUUGUUUUUCACCUGAAAAAAGAAGAGCACUUAAGAAAACACAAAGUACAGUAAUGGAAGUACUUUAUCACUUAAGAACAUAGAGCAAGGAGAGUUAUCCAUGUUACUUGUGUUGGAUAAUAAGAGAGAGCGUAUCAUUCUCUUUGGCUACUAUAUGGGUUCUUCUUAAUUCCACCCUGCGUCAACAUUUUCUUCCAUGAUUUCAACUACUAAUAGGGGAGAAAAAAAAGAAUAGAGGGGAAAGGAAAUUGUUCCCUGAAUAGCUUCAAGGGUCAGAAAGUGUUCAAUAUUACAGGUACUUCCUGCUAAUUGGGUAAAUUGAGUUCCUUGGGG
rnacentral:lncRNA from 1 species